UGGGGAAUAUUGGACAAUGGGCGCAACCCUGAUCCAGCAAUGCCGCGUGAGUGAUGAAGGCCUUAGGGUUGUAAAGCUCUUUUGCCGGGGACGAUAAUGACGGUACCCGGAGAAUAAGUCCCGGCUAACUUCGUGCCAGCAGCCGCGGUAAUACGAAGGGGACUAGCGUUGUUCGGAAUCACUGGGCGUAAAGCGCACGUAGGCGGAUUUGUAAGUCAGGGGUGAAAUCCCGGGGCUCAACCUCGGAACUGCCUUUGAUACUGCGGAUCUCGAGUCCGAUAGAGGUGAGUGGAAUUCCUAGUGUAGAGGUGAAAUUCGUAGAUAUUAGGAAGAACACCGGUGGCGAAGGCGGCUCACUGGAUCGGUACUGACGCUGAGGUGCGAAAGCGUGGGGAGCAAACAGGAUUAGAUACCCAAGUAGUCCCUGAGCGGGCUGGCAAGGCGCAU
rnacentral:rRNA from 1 species